AGGGUGAAACAGGAUCCUGCAGCACAACAGUUGGAUUAUUUAUUAUUUAACCAUUAUUUAACCAUUAUUUAACUAGGCAAGUCAGUUAAGAACACAUUCUUAUUUACAAUGACGGCCUACCAUAAGGCUUAAGGGGCUCCUGCGGGGACAUGGCCUGGGAUUCAAAAUAAAAUUAAAAUAUAGGACAAAACACACAUCACGACAAGAGAGACACCACAAGACUACAUAAAGAGAGACCUAAGACGACGACAUAGCAUGGCAGCAACACAACAUAACAACAACAUGGUAGCAACACAACACGGUCGCAGCACAAAACACAAACGUUAUUGGGCACAGACAACAGUACAAAGGGCAAGAAGGUAGAGACAACAAUACAUCACGCCAAGCAGACACAAGUAAGUGUCAAUGAUUGAGUCUUUGAAUGAAGAGAUGGAGGCAUCGUCUUUUUGCUGUGAGAUUCCUGUCCACUGCCCUCCUCAGCUGUCCACUGUCCUCCUCAGCUGUCCACUGUCCUCCUCAGCUGUCCACUGUCCUCCUCAGCUGUCCACUGCCCUCCUCAGGCUGUCCACUGUCCUCUCUCAGCUGUCCACUGUCCUCCUCAGCUGUCCACUGUCCUCCUCAGCUGUCCACUGCCCUCCUCAGCUGUCCACUGCCCUCUUUCAGCUGUCUACUGUCCUCCUCAGCUGUCCACUGCCCUCCUCAGCUGUCCACUGUCCUCCUCAGUGUCCACUGCCCUCCUCAGCUGUCCACUGCCCACCCCCUCCUCAGCUGUCCACUGUCUCCUCUCCACUGUCCUCCUCAGCUGUCCACUGUCUCCUCGCUGUCCCUGCCUCCCAGUUGUCCACUGUCCUCCUCAGCUGUCCACUGUUUCCUCAGCUGUCCACUGUCCUCCUCAGCUGUCCACUGUCCUCCUCAGCUGUCCACUGCCCUCCUCAGCUUAACUAAAGGUCCACAAAACAGAGCCUGAACAUAGGUUCACACAUACAUCCUACAUCCACUCCAACAGCCGGGAACAUUAUUUUAAUGUCCCUUUCAGAAAGUCAGAAGACCCUUCUUCAUAUUUGUCCCUUACAUGCAGUUUACAUGCAGUGUACCAUGUUUACAUGCAGUUUGCAUGCAGUGUACCAUGUUUACAUGCAGUGUACCAUGUUUACAUGCAGUUUGCAUGCAGUGUAACCAUGUUUACAUGCAGUUUACAUGCAGUGUACCAUGUUUACAUGC
rnacentral:lncRNA from 1 species